rnacentral:rRNA from 1 species
GACGAACGCUGGCGGCGUGCUUAACACAUGCAAGUCGAACGGUAAGGCCCUUCGGGGUACACGAGUGGCGAACGGGUGAGUAACACGUGGGUGAUCUGCCCUGCACUUCGGGAUAAGCCUGGGAAACUGGGUCUAAUACCGGAUAGGACCACUGCCUACAUGGGUGGUGGUGGAAAGCUUUUGCGGUGUGGGAUGGGCCCGCGGCCUAUCAGCUUGUUGGUGGGGUGAUGGCCUACCAAGGCGACGACGGGUAGCCGGCCUGAGAGGGUGACCGGCCACACUGGAGCUGAGAUACGGCCCAGACUCCUACGGGAGGCAGCAGUGGGGAAUAUUGCACAAUGGGCGCAAGCCUGAUGCAGCGACGCCGCGUGAGGGAUGACGGCCUUCGGGUUGUAAACCUCUUUCAGCACCGACGAAGCGCAAGUGACGGUAGGUGCAGAAGAAGGGCCGGCCAACUACGUGCCAGCAGCAGCCGCCG